UGGUAGGGGGGUGUUCUGGCAUUCUGCUAGUGUUUACUGCAGCAGGUUUGCCUUCGGGUCACCUUUAUUAUGACUGUAGAGAGGACCUGAGGGCGGGAGCGCGCAAUCAUCACGGUCUGUGAUAUUUCUUAGGGACGGAUCAGCUCUGAGACUCUCUACUGCGGCGGCGAGCACAGCUUUCCUCUCACACAAAGACUCAAGACUCAGUCUUUUCUGGCUUUGCUUACCUCUGGUACCUCUGGUCGAUAAGCUCCGCAUGAUUUAAACACCAUUGUUCCAGUUAUGCGUCCCAGAACAACUUUUGCCCUCAUCUUCAGUCAGUUGCUUGCUGCGUAACGAGAAUUCAUUCAUAUUCCGUUUGAACGACGGAUGGCGAUCAUGUUAAUUGCUGUUGGAUGUACACUGGUUUGCCGUGCUGUUGGAUUAAACGGGGCACGCAGCACGUUCUAAAGUGUCUUGCGACAUGGAGUCGGAUCGAUAAUGAUUUUAGUUGGGCUGUAAUACUGCUCGGAAUAAAGGUAAAAGUCUUGGUUGGAGUGGAUCCUGAGAGACUGUGCAGUAACCGCGAGGACUAAACGCGAGUGGAAUCAAAAGCGCGCGGCUGAUAUGGGUUCUGUUAUUUGUGACAAGAGAUUAGCGGGCCUCUUCCUCCUUCAAGCCUCCUCCCUCCUGCUGUUCAGUUCAGGGGAAAGGAUGUGCCCCUAUAGCUGCCGUUGCGAGGGAAAAAUUGUCCACUGUGAGUCAGCUGGCUUCCAAGACGUCCCAGAAAAUAUUUCAGUUAGUUGUCAAGGUCUAUCCCUGCGUUACAAUGACCUGCACACAAUGCUUCCUUACCAGUUUGCCCAUCUUAACCAGCUACUGUGGCUGUACCUGGACCACAAUCAAAUCAUGUUUGUGGAUAGUCGUGCUUUUCAAGGGGUGCGGCGAUUGAAGGAAUUGAUCUUGAGCUCCAAUAGAAUUUCACAGCUUCAUAAUGUUACUUUUCACGGAGUACCUAACCUACGUAGUCUUGACCUCUCCUACAACAAGUUGCAGGAGCUGCAACCAGGCCAGUUUUUUGGUCUUCGAAAACUGCAGAAUCUGCAGUUGCGCUCCAACGGGCUGACAACAAUCCCUGUUCGGGCAUUUCUAGAGUGCAGAAGCUUGGAAUUUCUAGACUUGGGCUAUAACCGGCUUCGGGUUCUUACUCGUACAGCAUUCCUGGGUUUGUCUCGACUUAUGGAGCUCCACCUGGAGCAUAAUCAGUUUUCACGAAUAAACUUCUUUCUGUUUCCUCGCCUUGCUAACCUUCGUGCCCUGUAUCUACAAUGGAACCGUAUUCGAGCUGUCAACCAAGGCCUUCCAUGGAGCUGGUACACCUUGCAAAAGCUUGAUAUCUCUGGCAAUGAGAUACAGGUACUAGAUCAUGUAGUAUUUCAAUGCCUCCCCAAUCUUCAGGUCCUCAAUUUAGAGUCUAACAAACUGGCCAAUGUGUCUCAGGAGGUUGUGGCUGCCUGGAUUUCCCUAACAACCAUUAGCCUUGCAGGCAACAUGUGGGAUUGUGGACCAGGCAUCUGUCCUCUUGUUGUCUGGCUCAAGAAUUUCAGAGGCACCAAGGACACUAGUAUAAUCUGCAGCAGUCCUAAGCACCUUCAAGGGGAGAAGGUUAUGGAAGCUUCAAAGACCUACAUUGACUGUGAUGACUACGAAAUUACUGCUCAAUCACCUUUGUAUCUGCAGACCUUUGAUCCAAAUUUUGACCUUACCCUUGAAAUGACUGACUCGACAAUGGCUCCUACAACACCGCCUCCACCCUUGCCUUCACCUGCCUCUGAGGCGCCAUUUCCACCUCCCCAUCCUCAACCACCUCAACGCCCCACCUUCCCCAGCCAUACAAAUCCAGAUCCCAGAGACUCCCAUCAAUGGACACCCUCUUCAUCUGACAGCUUAUUAGUCACGCCAGCUCCUGAGCAAGACAACGUGUCAUUUCACAAAGUGGUGAUGGGUGGGGUGGCACUGUUCUUCUCAGUGUCCCUUGUCUUGUCUGUAAUUUAUCUCUCCUGGAAACGUUACCCUGGUGCCACCCGGCUUUUGCAGCAGAGUACAGUGGGCCGUAAGCGGAGGAAAAAGAGUCAGGAACCAGAACAGAACCUGAGCUCCCAGCUCCAGGAAUAUUACAUGAGCUACAACCCUGCAGCCACACCAGAAGCCUUGGAGGUGCUGGGCAAUGGGACAGGUACCUGUACCUGCACCAUAUCCGGCUCCCGGGAAUGUGAGGUAUGACAUGUGAAAGCAGCCUAAAAUCAAAUCAGAUCAAAACAAAUGAACGACUCAGGAAAUAGAGAAUGAAUAUACAUGUCCCAGACCGUUACCUGGAGCUUGGAUUGGAGACAUACCCACCAUACACUGAAGGGACUGUUUUGUUCCUCAAAAUAAUCCACCGGCGGGUGGAUUUGUGCCUACCUGCAUUUCAUCUGUCGCAUCAAUCUUUUUCUCAUGAUACCAUUCAUGCUUUCAGUGCUUCUUUAAUGGAUUCUGGUGGAUAGUCUUCAGUCAGACACUGCAAACGGACAUCUGAGAGACAGUGGGAACAGAUGCAUAUUUUACUAAAACAUUUGGAUGCCUCACUUUGUUCUUUAAUGCACCUGAAUGGGUCAGGUUUAUUUGGGAAGCCUUCGGUGGAACAUACCAAUGAAAGUUAUCCAGCCUUUGAUGAAUCGCCCAGCGUCAUUUGACGUUUGUGUGGACCUGUACAUAAACUACAAACUUUGUUAAUAUACCCUUGGAUUUAAAACAGAACUUGCCCUUUCCUUUGUUAUUUAAUGUAUAUCCUUGGAAAGUUUGUGUAAAAUGACUGAGUUAAAACCUUUAUCUUUGUUGCCUAAUACUGGAUUUGUUAUGCUUUACGUUUCUGCAAACACCUCUGUACAGUUUAAUUUGAAGAGAUUCUCAAGUUUACCUGCCCUUCAUAACAGUAAUAAACUUCAUACUGUUAUACUGCGUUAUUUAAACAAGACCUGUGAUCUCACUGACUAUGCUAACACUGUUUGAAAUGUUUGAGUGUACAUAUGUAGUCUCAUUUUAUAGGAGUGUUUAAGGAAAUUUCAAGAUCUGAAUAUAAAGAAAGUGUUUUAAGUCCUAGUUUAAAGACAAAGUUUUGAUAUUUGUUCAGGUUCCACCAGCCCCUCUAUCUUCAAAUAGUGCAACUUGAAAGUGUCAUUUAUUUAUAUGCAUUUUAAUUUAAUAAUUAUAUUUUAUAACCAAACUGUAUAAAUUGAACGUCACCAAGUUCUGUUUUAUAAUGAGAACAUUGUCAAAAUCAAUCGUGAGAAAUAUACAUUUGUCAAAUGGAAAUUAGUAUUGAUCAACUUGUUAAUUUUUUAUGCAUUUAUUAUUACUUUAUUUAACAAUAUGGAUUUUCCUGUAAAAACAAAAACGGAGUUUAUUUUUCACUAGUUGAAUAUUUCAUGUAGCUCAUUGGUACAUACCAAUUAAAAUAAACAACUGUAAUGCAGUACAAUUAAGCUUUAAUUAAAAAAAAAAAAAGUAUAAUUACGAUUAUUUCUGAAGUUAUAUUUAUAACCGCAAUUAAUCCCUGAAAUAACUAAGGUAAGUAGUUGUUUUUGUUUACCAAUGCUGUAUUUAUUUAAUAUAAAUAUUCUGAAUUAUUAUUGCAAUUUAAAAGAACAAUUUUCUAUUUCAAUAUGUUUUAAAAUGUAAUGUAUUCCUGUGAUUGCAA